AUGGCGCCGCCGCCGCCGCAGACGCCGACGCCGGUGAUUCCGCGGGAGGCGUGGGAGGGCUGCAGCGUGCUCCUCGACAUCAACGACGGCGACCGCCUCGCCUUCUUCCGCCUCACCCCCGGCGCGACGGUGAAGAUAGGGGACAAGAGCUGCUCGCUGCAGCCGCUGCUCGGCCGCCCCUUUGGCUCCCUCUUCCGCGUCGGUCCCGACGGCCUCGUCCCCUGCGCCGCCACCGACGCGUCGUCUCAAGAUGAUAAGCCGCGAGGCGGCGGCGCCGGUGGCCAGGCGCAGGACGAGACCAGGGACAAUAGGUCCCUGGUUGACAAUAACACAGCGCAGACGCUGUCGAGCGAGGACAUAGAGGCGAUGAAGCGAGAGGGUGCGAGCGGCGAUGCGAUUGUGGAGGCUCUGAUAGCGAAUAGCUCCACAUUUGGAAAUAAGACAGUUUUCUCACAGGAGAAAUACAAACUGAAGAAACAAAAGAAAUAUGCACCGAAAGUGCUUUUGCGGCGCCCCACUUCCAGAAGCAUUUGUGAGACAUAUUUCAAGAAGUACCCAGCUCGAAUAGGGUUUAUGCGAGUUGAUGCGCUCUCCCUCUUGUUGUCUAUGGCAAAUGUUGGUGCAUAUUCAGAUGUGCUUGCCGUUGAUAUGGUGGGGGGUUUAGUUGUUGGAGCUGUAGCUGAACGCUUAGGAGGUACAGGAUAUGUUUGUAGCACAUAUCUUGGAUCAGCGCCCAGCUCCAUAGAUAUAAUAAGAAUGUAUAAUUUGAGCAGCGACAUGACCAGCAGGAUUUUCCAGGCACCACUUGGUGACCUCUGCUCCUUGCAAAGUGUUGGCGAUGCUCCUUCUGUUCUCAGUGGCAGCAUUCAAUGUGAUGUAGUUGAACCUGCUGCUGUACCAGAUGAGAGUCUUCAGUCAUCCCCUGCAAAACCAAUUAAUACAACAGUAUCAGAUGGGAAUGCGCAGUCAAUGACAGUGCAGCCAAUUAAUAUGGAGGUCCCUGAGCCUGCAACAGAUGAUCACCUUAAUCAAGGUGACAUUUCUAUGUCGGAUUGCAAAGGAAGUAAUGGCAAUUCAGUAGCUCCCAAAGCACCGAGAGCAGGAAAAGCACCCUCACCAGAGAUGAUGAAAUACUGGGGAGAACAUGGGUUUAGCAGUUUGAUUGUUGCUGCUCCUGGCCAUGAGGUAGAAAGUGUGCUUGCUGAUUUGCUUCCACUCCUGUCCUAUUCGGCCCCAUUUGCUAUCUAUCACCAAUAUCUUCAGCCUCUUGCGACAUGCAUGCAUAGUUUGCAAGCAUCGAAAAUGGCAAUUGGGUUACAGAUUACUGAACCCUGGCUCCGAGAAUAUCAGGUCCUUCCAUCGCGCACCCACCCACACAUGCAGAUGAAUGCGUUUGGUGGUUAUGUCUUGAGCGGCAUCCGGAUACACAAGCCUGACCCCUAG
rnacentral:rRNA from 1 species